rnacentral:rRNA from 1 species
GUCUGAUCGAGCGACGCCGCGUGCAGGAUGAAGGUCUUAGGAUUGUAAACUGCUUUUCUUAGGGAAAAAGUUAUUGAUUGUACCUAGGGAAUAAGGAGCUGCAAACUUCGUGCCAGCAGCAGCGGUAAUACGAAGGCUCCAAGCGUUAUCCGGAUUUAUUGGGCGUAAAGAGUGCGCAGGAGGUCAAGCACGUCUGUCGUUAAAUGUCUCAGCUUAACUGGGUCACCGCGGGAGAUACGACUUGACUAGAGGAUGUUAGAGGUUACUAGAACUCACGGUGUAGGGGUGAAAUCCGUUGAUAUCGUGGGGAAUACCAAAGGCGAAGGCAUGUAACUGGAACAUUCCUGACUCUCACGCACGAAAGCGUGGGGAGCAAAAAGGAUUAGAUACCCUUGUAGUCCACGCCCUAAACGAUGCCGACUAGCCGUUUCGAGUAUCGACCCUCGGAGUGGCGCAGCUAACGCGUUAAGUCGGCCGCCUGGGAAGUACGAUCGCAAGAUUAAAACUCAAAGGAAUAGACGGGGACU